GUGGAGACACAAUGUCAUUUCAUGAAGGAAUUGAAAGAGAAGCAAGAGCUCUGGGCAAGUGGCAACACCUUAAUCUCUGAGCUAAUAGAGUACUGGACCUGACCUUCAAUAUGCUGUGGAGUAAGGUGUCAGCCUAUACUAGAAAAAAAU
rnacentral:lncRNA from 12 species